rnacentral:snRNA from 1 species
GGGCUCGUUUUGGCAGCACAUAUACUAAAAGAGAUUAGCAUGGCCCCUGCGCAAGGAUAACAUGCGAAUUUGUGAAGCGGUCCAUAUUAAA